UUUCAUUUUAAGGCUUGGAAGCACUCCUGGAAUUAACCAGAGAUACCCUGGAGAAUGAGCUGUAGGGAUGAGAAUCACUGAAUGAGAAGCUGAAAAUCAGGAGGCUAGCAAGCAACGACAGGUACUCAAAGCAUCGUACUGUCAACACAGCGAGUUCUGCUGUCGCCUGCAUCAUAAUCUGUUUCUUAGUAACACUUGGUCUGAGCAGCCGUAAUAGAAUUAAUUAUACUUCAUUUUGCUGCCUUUAACAGUAUUGACCAAAUUUAAGAACAAAUGAGAAGUGCUUAUCAAGCUUGAAGAAAAUAAUCCAUCAGUGGCACAAUUUAAAUUCUCUGCAGUUCUCUUAUUAAUCAAAGUAACACUUACUAUCCUAUCUCCACUUCCCAUUAACAGUCAUUAAGCCCUGCUGCUGAUUGAAGCAAUUUCUUUAGGGAUCUCAACCUCAUUUUUAAGAGAACCUUCUUUAGUGGAAAACAAUAUCAUAUAAACGCAGCAACUUAAGAGAGAGGGAGAAGGUUCUUCAAUCAUGUUCUGACCUUGAUAGUUUUCAAUGGUGUGAGUUCAAAAAAGUACCCAACUGUGAUUCUGGAAACUUCGAGAGUGGAUGGGCUGUCCUUGCCUCAGCACCUGAAGGAGGCACGACUCGAACAGGCAAGGCUUGGACUUGGCUCAAACCGCUUGCCGGCCUCUCUGGAGCACUACGGCCCUUGUUCUGGUCUUUCGCUCACAGUGUCUGAUGCUUC